GAUGAACGCCGGCGGUGUGCCUAAUACAUGCAAGUCGAGCGCACUGGCCCAACUGAUAUGACGUGCUUGCACUGAUUUGACGAUGGAUUACCAGUGAGCGGCGGACGGGUGAGUAACACGUGGGCAACCUGCCCUGGAGCGGGGGAUAACAUCUGGAAACAGGUGCUAAUACCGCAUGACUACUAAAACCACCUGGUUUUAGUAUAAAAGAAGGCUUCAGCUUUCACUCUAGGAUGGGCCCGCGGUGCAUUAGCUAGUUGGUAAGGUAACGGCUUACCAAGGCGAUGAUGCAUAGCCGAGUUGAGAGACUGAUCGGCCACAAUGGAACUGAGACACGGUCCAUACUCCUACGGGAGGCAGCAGUAGGGAAUCUUCCACAAUGGGCGCAAGCCUGAUGGAGCAACACCGCGUGAGUGAAGAAGGGUUUCGGCUCGUAAAGCUCUGUUGUUGAAGAAGAACGUGCGUGAGAGUAACUGUUCACGCAGUGAC
rnacentral:rRNA from 2 species